AUCAUUUCAAAUCGGAUCUCUGCCCAGAAAUCUAGAUUUAAGAAGCUUCCGCCAAAACUCAGCCAGGGCGUGCUACCCUCCCUCGCUUGGAUCGUAACAUUGACCCUAACGUGGACCCAAAGAAGCUGCGAAGGAUCAUUUCAAAUCCGAUCUCUGCCCAGAAAUCUAGAUUGAAGAAGCUUCAGUAUGUCGCUGAUAUGGAAAAGAAGGUGAAAGUUUUAGAGGCUCAGAUAAGCGUGCUCAAUCCUCAGGUGGAAUUUUACAAAAAACAUUAUUAAAUGUUAGAAAUGGAGCAUAAGAAAUUGAAUCAACGUAUGGCCACUUACACAAACAACACCAUGCUUAGAAAUGCUGAAAUUGAAGCGAACAAAGCAGAACGCACCAGACUGCUGCAACUUCACUGGACCCAACAGCAGGAGAGAAUACAAACACAAAUUAUGAUGCCCUUUUGGGAGUCAGCUGGGCUGGCGGAAAUGGUCAUUCCCAGCAUAUAUAGAUCUGGACAAGAAUUUAAUCAUCAAUUAUGCAUUCAUCAUGUUAAUUAGCCAUUUAGCCUAGGUCAAUUUAUUGAUGGAUCCUUUGAACAAUUAGCUUAAUUUUCUCUCCUUGGGGGUUU